rnacentral:rRNA from 1 species
AAACUUGAGAGUUUGAUCAUGGCUCAGAACGUACGCUGGCGGCACGCCUAACACAUGCAAGUCGAACGAAGUAGCAAUACUUAGUGGCAGACGGGUGAGUAACAUGUAGGUAUCUGCCCUUUGGCCUGGAAUAACACGAGGAAACUUGUGCUAAUACCGGAUAAGUCUUUACGGAGAAAGCUUUAUGCACCAUUGGAUGAGCCUGCACUUGAUUAGUUUGUUGGUAGGGUAAUGGCCUACCAAGACUGUGAUCAAUAGCUGAUUUGAGAGGAUGAUCAGCCACAUUGGGACUGAGACACGGCCCAAACUCCUACGGGAGGCAGCAGUGGGGAAUCUUGCACAAUGGAGGAAACUCUGAUGCAGCGAUGCCGCGUGAGUGAAGAAGGCCCUUGGGUUGUAAAGCUCUUUCGUCGGGGAAGAAAAUGACUGUACCCGAAUAAGAAGGUCCGGCUAACUUCGUGCCAGCAGCCGCGGUAAUACGAAGGGACCUAGCGUAGUUCGGAAUUACUGGGCUUAAAGAGUUCGUAGGUGGUUGAAAUAGUUGGUGGUGAAAUCCCAGAGCUUAACUCUGGAACUGCCAUCAAAACUUUUCAGCUAGAGUAUGAUAGAGGAAAGCAGAAUUUCUAGUGUAGAGGUGAAAUUCGUAGAUAUUAGAAAGAAUACCAAAUGCGAAGGCAGCUUUCUGGAUCAUUACUGACACUGAGGAACGAAAGCAUGGGUAGCGAAGAGGAUUAGAUACCCUCGUAGUCCAUGCCGUAAACGAUGUGUGUUAGACGUUGGAAAUUUAUUUUCAGUGUCGCAGGGAAACCGAUAAACACACCGCCUGGGGAGUACGACCGCAAGGUUAAAACUCAAAUGAAUUGACGGGGACCCGCACAAGUAGUGGAGCAUGUGGUUUAAUUCGAAGAUACGCGCAGAACCUUACCAACACUUGACAUGUUCGUCGCGACUCUAAGAGAUUAGAGUUUUCGGUUCGGCCGGACGAAACACAGGUGCUGCAUGGCUGUCGUCAGCUCGUGUCGUGAGAUGUUGGGUUAAGUCCCGCAACGAGCGCAACCCUCACUUUUAGUUGCCAUCAUUAAGUUGGGCACUCUGAAAGAACUGCCAGUGAUAAGCUGGAGGAAGGUGGGGAUGACGUCAAGUCCUCAUGGCCCUUACGUGUUGGGCUACACACGUGCUACAAUGGUAUCUACAACAGGAAGCAAGACUGCGAAGUUAAGCAAAUCCCUAAAAGAUACCUCAGUUCGGAUUGCACUCUGCAACUCGAGUGCAUGAAGCUGGAAUUACUAGUAAUCGUGGAUCAGCGUGCCACGGUGAAUGCGUUCCCGGGUCUUGUACACACCGCCCGUCACACCAUGGGAGUUGGUUCUACCUUAAGGCAAGGUUUUAAACCCUUGACCACGGUAUAGUCAGCGACUGGGGUGAAGUCGUAACAAGGUAGCCGUAGGGGAACCUGCGGCUGGAUUACCUCCUUU